CCUACGGGUGGCAGCAGUGAGGAAUAUUGGUCAAUGGCCGAGAGGCUGAACCAGCCAAGUCGCGUGAGGGAAGACGGCCCUACGGGUUGUAAACCUCUUUUGUCGGGGAGCAAAGCGAACCACGUGUGGUUCAUUGAGAGUACCCGAAGAAAAAGCAUCGGCUAACUCCGUGCCAGCAGCCGCGGUAAUACGGAGGAUGCGAGCGUUAUCCGGAUUUAUUGGGUUUAAAGGGUGCGCAGGCGGAGGUGCAAGUCAGCGGUCAAAUUGCGGGGCUCAACCCCGUACUGCCGUUGAAACUGCAUCCCUUGAGUGCGCGAGAAGUAUGCGGAAUGCGUGGUGUAGCGGUGAAAUGCAUAGAUAUCACACAGAACACCGAUUGCGAAGGCAUCUCACGAAUCCGCGAUUGACGCUGAUGCACGAAAGCGUGGGUAUCAAACAGGAUUAGAUACCCGAGUAGUC
rnacentral:rRNA from 1 species